rnacentral:rRNA from 1 species
AGUAAAAGUCGUAACAAGGUCUCCGUUGGUGAACCAGCGGAGGGAUCAUUACAGAGCGUAACAACUCGCCAAACCACUGUGAACAUACCAUCAUUGCUUCGGCGGACACGCCCCGGGCGCCCCUGCGUGCCCCGGACCAAGGCGCCCGCCGGGGGAAAACCAAACUCCUGUCUUUGCUGUGGCAUCUUCUGAGUGAACACAAAUGAAUCAAAACUUUCAACAACGGAUCUCUUGGCUCUAGCAUCGAUGAAGAACGCAGCGAAAUGCGAUAAGUAAUGUGAAUUGCAGAAUUCAGUGAAUCAUCGAAUCUUUGAACGCACAUUGCGCCCGCCAGUAUUCUGGCGGGCAUGCCUGUUCGAGCGUCAUUUCAACCCUCAAGCUCAGCUUGGUGUUGGGACUCGCGGUAACCCGCGUUCCCCAAAUCGAUUGGCGGUCACGUCGAGCUUCCAUAGCGUAGUAAUCAUACACCUCGUUACUGGUAAUCGUCGCGGCCACGCCGUAAAACCCCAACUUCUGAAUGUUGACCUCGGAUCAGGUAGGAAUACCCGCUGAACUUAAGCAUAUCAAUAAGCGGAGGA